GGACAUGUAGCACAAUGGGAGUGUACACGAUUGAAGCUCGUGCCGUGGGGGUUCGAUUCCCCCCUUGUCCA
rnacentral:tRNA from 1 species